UACGUAGGGAGCAAGCGUUGUCCGGAAUCAUUGGGCGUAAAGCGCGCGUAGGUGGCCUCAUAAGUCCGUUGUGAAAGUCAAAGGCUCAACCUUUGAAAGCCGAUGGAUACUGUGAGACUAGAGUACGGAAGAGGCGAGUGGAAUUCCUGGUGUAGCGGUGGAAUGCGCAGAUAUCAGGAGGAACACCAAUAGCGAAGGCAGCUCGCUGGGACGUUACUGACGCUGAGGCGCGAAAGCGUGGGGAGCGAACAGG
rnacentral:rRNA from 1 species